rnacentral:sRNA from 1 species
AAAACUGGCAUUAUUGAUUAUGGAGUCCGUCUCAAUAGGAGUGAAAGAUGGGAUGCCUAUUGCUACAACCCACACGCAAAGGAGUGUGGUGGUGUCUUUACAGAUCCAAAGCGAAUUUUUAAAUCUCCAGGCUUCCCAAAUGAGUACGAAGAUAACCAAAUCUGCUACUGGCACAUUAGACUCAAGUAUGGUCAGCGUAUUCACCUGAGUUUUUUAGAUUUUGACCUUGAAGAUGACCCAGGUUGCUUGGCUGAUUAUGUUGAAAUAUAUGACAGUUACGAUGAUGUCCAUGGCUUUGUGGGAAGAUACUGUGGAGAUGAGCUUCCAGAUGACAUCAUCAGUACAGGUAAGGUUCUAAAUUGAGGACCAAAACUAUGAUUUGUUUCUUUACAGUGUCCCUGAAAGUAAAGGGACACUGUUAAAUAGUAAAUAGUAGUUAUUAUUCACUUUUUAAAGUUGAAAGAACCAACACUAGAUGCAGCUUGCUAGCUUGUAAAAUGC